AACGAACGCUGGCGGCAUGCCUAACACAUGCAAGUCGAACGAGACCUUCGGGUCUAGUGGCGCACGGGUGCGUAACGCGUGGGAACCUGCCCUUAGGUUCGGAAUAACUCCCCGAAAGGGGUGCUAAUACCGGAUAAUGUCUUCGGACCAAAGAUUAUCGCCCUUGGAUGGGCCCGCGUUGGAUUAGCUAGUUGGUAGGGUAAAAGCCUACCAAGGCGACGAUCCAUAGCUGGUCUGAGAGGAUGAUCAGCCACACUGGGACUGAGACACGGCCCAGACUCCUACGGGAGGCAGCAGUGGGGAAUAUUGGACAAUGGGCGAAAGCCUGAUCCAGCAAUGCCGCGUGAGUGAUGAAGGCCUUAGGGUUGUAAAGCUCUUUUACCCGGGAUGAUAAUGACAGUACCGGGAGAAUAAGCUCCGGCUAACUCCGUG
rnacentral:rRNA from 1 species